GACAGAGGGUGCAAACGUUGCUCGGAAUUACUGGGCGUAAAGCGCGUGUAGGUGGACCAGCAAGUCAGGCGUGAAAUCCCUAGGCUCAACCUAGGAACUGCACCUGAAACUGCUGGUCUGGAGUGGUGGAGAGGAAAGCAGAAUUCCUGGUGUAGAGGUGAAAUUCGUAGAUAUCAGGAGGAACACCGGUGGCGAAGGCGGCUUUCUGGACACUUACUGACACUGAGACGCGAAAGCGUGGGGAGCAAACAGG
rnacentral:rRNA from 1 species